GGAAUUGUUCGCAAUGGGCGCAAGCCUGACGACGCAACGCCGCGUGGAGGAUGAAGAUCUUCGGGUCGUAAACUCCUGUCGAAUGGGACGAACGGGUUGCGGGUGAAUAGCCCGUGACCGUGACGGUACCGUUAAAGGAAACCCCGGCUAACUCCGUGCCAGCAGCCGCGGUAAUACGGGGGGGGUAAGCGUUGUUCGGAAUUACUGGGCGUAAAGGGCUCGUAGGCGGCCAACUAAGUCGGACGUGAAAUCCCUCAGCUCAACUGGGGAACUGCGUCCGAUACUGGAUGGCUUGGAUUUGGGAGAGGGAUGCGGAAUUCCAGGUGUAGCGGUGAAAUGCGUAGAUAUCUGGAGGAACACCGGUGGCGAAGGCGGCAUCCUGGACCAAUAUUGACGCUGAGGAGCGAAAGCCAGGGGAGCAAA
rnacentral:rRNA from 1 species